GGAACUGUUCGCAAUGGGCGCAAGCCUGACGACGCAACGCCGCGUGGAGGAUGAAGAUCUUCGGGUCGUAAACUCCUUUCGAUCGAGCCGACCGGCCUCCGGGUGAACAAUCCGGAGGAGUGACGGUACCGAGAGAAGCAGCCCCGGCUAACUCCGUGCCAGCAGCCGCGGUAAUACGGGGGGGGCAAGCGUUGUUCGGAAUUACUGGGCGUAAAGGGCUCGUAGGUGGCCAACUAAGUCAGACGUGAAAUCCCUCGGCUUAACCGAGGAACUGCGUCUGAUACUGGAUGGCUUGAGUUUGGGAGAGGGAUGCGGAAUUCCAGGUGUAGCGGUGAAAUGCGUAGAUAUCUGGAGGAACACCGGUGGCGAAGGCGGCAUCCUGGACCAAUACUGACACUGAGGAGCGAAAGCCAGGGGAGCAAAC
rnacentral:rRNA from 1 species